AGUCUUGUAACACCACUGUUGGAUAAGCGGUUCGAGGAUUUCAAUGUUAGAAUAACAACGAAUCUGCUGUCUACAGAGGCUGGUCGCAGCCAGUCCAUUCACAUUUGACACGGAAGCACUGUUUUGUGUGGACCGCGCCCAGCAACCUCCCUGCCCACAGUUCUGCAAGGCUUAGUAAUAGGUUCUGCAUACCGACGUCUUUGUGGAUUUGGUGUGGCAUUACCUACAACCUUGAGCAUUUCUGUGAAGGAACCGCUGUUUGGUUGUUUAUUUCUUUGAUUGACAUCGGUUUUCUGACCCGUUUCAGAGUACUACAUUCUCCACCCUCGGUUCCAAGGCAGGAUAGACCUAACAUUCCAGCUUAGCUCUAAGCUCAUACACGGCAAGUAUCCUACGAGAGAAGCAUAUUCUUGUGCGAGGUGCUCUUCACUGAUCAUGAUCACAUCGAGUAUUGCUCUAUCAAUCCAGCUGUCGUAGAUGAGAAUUGAGAGGAAUAUCAUUAGCUAGCUGCUUUCAGGUGCUCUUAGUGAUGGGGGAAGUUUCACAACUUUUGCAAAAAGCCUUUUGGUUCAAGGUUUUUCGUUCUAUGUGAAGAGGUAUACUCAAAACACUUCGUCGCUAACAAAGAAUCCGUUAAUUAGCACUGACUAAACAUUCUCAUUAUUUUAACAUGAGUAUGUCAGUCCAUAUAUAGCCAGUACUCAUCUAUAUCUUAACCAGACCAGAUACACUCUAGCUUCGCUACUAUUCAAUUCAGUCGCACAUGUCAACAAUCUGGUUAGCAGAUGACUGGAUGCUGUUUGAUUUUGAUUUUGAUUUUUUUUUUAUUCUUUAAGUGACAUGGAAUGAAUGUCAUAU
rnacentral:lncRNA from 1 species